AUGGAUGGGAUCAUGACUUUACAUGAGCUCCUCAAUUACACCCAUGUCAAGAAAAAAGUAGGGGUGGUGCUUAAGCUCGACUUCGAGAAAGCAUACGACAAGGUUAACUGGGAGUUUCUGUUGGAUUGCCACAGAAUGAGGGGCUUCAACGAAACCUGGUGUGGGUGGGUGAAUCAAAUCCUAUACAAUGGUACUGUUAGUAUGAAGCUUAAUAACUCAGUAGGCCCAUAUUUUCAAAGUGCUAAAGGGGUGCGCCAAGGAGACCCCCACUCCCCCUUUUUGUUCAACCUAGCUGUAGAAUGUCUCAACAAGAUGAUCCGUAAAGCGCAGCAGAAUGGCCUCCUAACUGGACUAGCAUCUGAUCUUGUCCCGAAUGGGGUGGUAGUUCUGCAAUACGUAGAUGACACGAUUAUUUGCCUCGAG
rnacentral:rRNA from 1 species